AUGUGUGCUUGCCUAGAUUGUAAGGUGAUACCAAGAGAAAGUGUUGUCACUCAACAUAAGCUUGUGGUGGCUGACUUCCACUUUCGGAUUCGUGUCCAGCGGAAUAGGCGCACCAAAGACGCUAGAACGAAGUGGUGGAAGCUCAAGGGGGAGGCAGCUCAGGCUUUCAAGGGCAGGGUUAUUAAGGAGGGCCCUUGGGAGGAAGGAGGUGAUGCAGAUAAUAUGUGGAUGAAGAUGGCGACUUGCAUUCCUAAGGUGGCUUCAGAGUUUGGGGUGAACAGGGGAAGUAGAAUCAAAGCUAACGAUACUUGGUGA
rnacentral:rRNA from 1 species